ACGAACGCUGGCGGCGUGCUUAACACAUGCAAGUCGCACGGAAAGGCCCUGCUUUUGUGGGGUGCUCGCGUGGCGAACGGGUGAGUAACACGUGAGUAACCUGCCCUUGACUUUGGGAUAACUUCAGGAAACUGGGGCUAAUACCGGAUAGGAGCUCCUGCUGCAUGGUGGGGGUUGGAAAGUUUCGGCGGUUGGGGAUGGACUCGCGGCUUAUCAGCUUGUUGGUGGGGUAGUGGCUUACCAAGGCUUUGACGGGUAGCCGGCCUGAGAGGGUGACCGGCCACAUUGGGACUGAGAUACGGCCCAGACUCCUACGGGAGGCAGCAGUGGGGAAUAUUGUACAAUGGGCGGAAGCCUGAUGCAGCAACGCCGCGUGCAGGAUGACGGCCUUCGGGUUGUAAACCGCUUUCGCCUGUGACGAAGCGUGAGUGACGGUAAUGGGUAAAGAAGCACCGGCUAACUACGUG
rnacentral:rRNA from 1 species